UUUAUUUAUAGUAUAUUAGUAGAAAAACGCUUUUAUGAAUCUCGUUGCGUUUUUAUUAUAUUGUUUAUAAUUGAAUGUUUCGGGUUAGCAAUAUAUAGUAGAAGUCAAAAGUACACCUCGUUUUCAAAACUAAUUUAAUUGCCGUAGUUUUAGUUUGUACGUUGUACGUUGUACUUUUGACUUCUACUUUAAGAUUUAUACUUAUAGCACAAAAUUAGCGUUGUACUUUUGGCUUCUAUUUAAGAUUUAUACUUGUAGUAUAAAACUAGUAAUGUACUUUUGACUUCUAUUUUAAGAUAUAUACUUACACUCUAAAAACAGUCCGUUAAGAAAAGUAACGGGUUGCGCUUUUUCGUUAAAUUAACGGAUUAAUUCGUUACCAAAAACUAGAAAAUUAACGGAGUAAAAUUAACUAUUUACGGAUUCUUUGAAAUUUCGUUAAUUCAACGGAUUAAAUAUUUUAAUCAGUGAAAAAAAAUUUUUCAGAAUAGCUUUUUAUUUUGAAAAUGAUAAAGUUUUGAAUGCGUUUGUCUCACAUUUACAUUUACAUCGUAGAUAAAAGUUGGUUGCAGUAAGUGUAAUGUGCCAUUUUUUAAAAAGCUUUACAUUUAGUAGACAAAGCAAAUGGAUAAGUAUAAUUUAAAUUACGCUCUGUUAUUUGUAAUUUCGAAGGUUAUUUAGAUUAUUUUAAAUUUUCUAUAUAAAGCUUUAUAUAGAAAAUUUAACAAUAAGGUUUAUUUUGUUUUAAAUUAAAAGCCAUUAGUAUUACUAAAUAAUAUAUAAUAACAUAUAUGGUAAGUUGAUACAUAUCAUAUAUGGUAAGUUACUACAUGUCUAAAUCUAGAAAAUUAUGCAAGAAUAUAUGCAAUCCAUAUAGUCUAUGUUAUAGAAAUAAAAGUUCAACUAAUCCUUUACUAGUAGUACAGGGUUAGUUGAACAAUUAUUUCUAUAAUAUAGACUAAAUGGAUUAUUUAUAGUCAUUUUUAACUUUAUAUUUUAGACAUAUGACAUGUAGUAACAUACCAUAUUAGUUUAAAUCAGUUGUAAAAUUAAAAAUGUUAACAUCUUUGAUAGGUAUAUUUAUUUAGUUUAGUUACAGCUAAGUUUACAUGGCUAGUUAAUUUGCUUUUAUAAACUGCAAUUUUAAUUAACUUCCAAAUUAAACAUGUGGCAUCCAAUAUCAUAAACUAAGUUUAUACUGGUGUGUUUAUAUUAUUUUAGAAUUUUUUGUUUUAGACACAUGGCAUUUGCUAUCCCACUACACGUGGCAUGUGGUAUCCCACUAAUUUGCUGUUUUAGACACGUGGCUUGUGAUAUCCCACUAAUUAGCUAUUUUAAACAUGUGACAAGUGGUAUGACACUGUAUUGAUGUAUGUGAAAUGUAUAGAGUCUUUCAGUUAUCAGAUAAUGUCAAGGAGUUGACAGCAUGGUGUCCUAUUUAAAGUGCGAACCUGUGUACGAGUAACAACAGUAUUCAAAACCAAAACCUAUUUAAACCAACCAAACCAAAACUAGCGACCAAAAACUAAUAUCUUGGCAUUGGUUUAUUUUAAACAUCUAUUAUAUAUAUGUGUGUGUUUUAUAUAAAUGUACUAGCUUGAGUAUAGUGUAUUAAAAAUAUUUUUUUUAACUAUUUUUAUUGUAAUUUAAAGUAUA
rnacentral:lncRNA from 1 species